UACAGAGGUCCCAAGCGUUGUUCGGAUUCACUGGGCGUAAAGGGUGCGCAGGUGGGUUGGCAAGUUCGAUGUGAAAGCCCCGGGCUUAACCCGGGAAUGGCAUUGGAUACUGCUGAUCUGGAGGAUCGGAGGGGGGACUGGAAUUCUUGGUGUAGCAGUGAAAUGCGUAGAUAUCAUGAGGAAUACCAGAGGCGAAGGCGGCUACCUGGACAAUUGCUGACGCUCAGGCACGAAAGCGUGGGGAGCAAAAGGG
rnacentral:rRNA from 1 species